rnacentral:rRNA from 1 species
UACAGAGGGUGCGAGCGUUAAUCGGAAUUACUGGGCGUAAAGCGCACGUAGUCGGCUUUGCAAGUCGGGUGUGAAAUCCCCGGGCUCAACCUGAGAACUGCAUCCGAGACUGCAUUGCUAGAGUAUGGGAGAGGGAAGCGGAAUUUCUGGUGUAGCAGUGAAAUGCGUAGAUAUCAGAAGGAACAUCAGUGGCGAAGGCGGCUUCCUGGACCAAUACUGACGAUCAGGUGCGAAAGCGUGGGGAGCAAACAGG